CUUCCUCAAUGCCCCACAGGAAGGAGAGGCCUUCUGCAUUAGACCCCUUGCCCUUCCCAUUAAGGGAAGGUGAUCUUGCCUGAAACAAUCCUUUCUUUUCUUGUGCUAAUAACUCCUCCCCCCUAGACUUCUCCCAAUAAAAACUUUCCAUUUUAUGCAACUCUCAUGUGGUUCCCCUCUUCCUGCUGGGUGCCUUGCAGCUGAACUUUGUUUUUUAACAGGAUGCACAGCCACCCUUCCUCAGUGACUCAGUUUUGGCAUGUGGCUCAGAUGGGACUGCCCCUGCUUCUUCACAAUCCCUGUGCGCCCUCCUGACUGGUGAUCUAUGGGCCCAACAUUGAGUCCAGCUCCUGACUUUAUGCUCCAGACUCUUGGCUACUGAUACCAUGUGUUCCCUGUCAGCUGCAUUAUUCUACUCUCGUCAGCCCUCUCACUUUGGAAAGUUAUCAGUAAUACACUGGCCACAGCCAUCUAGAACCUUUGUCACCUCCAGGUCCUUGCUUCACUGGAUGCUUCCUAACCAGCACCUGCAAUCACCUACAGGCCAGAGUGACUUGUCUUCAAAAGAAAGACCCUCUUCAAAGCCCAUGGAAAAGGGCUAUGCCAAAUAGUUCCGGUACGGUCUCCUGAUGGCAUCAUUUAAACAAUGAUGAGACCCUACCAGGGGAUUUGGUCAGGAUUUCCAGAAUUCUAGUGGAGAAGCAUUUUGGGCUCAUGAGACUACUAACCCACGUUCAAGCAAAGUGAGAAGUAGUUACAUAGGCCUAAAUGAACUACUGAGGAAGGACUAUGGUUUUUAUUUGGAAUACUUUAAUGUUCUACUUUCUGAACAUAAGGAAGUCUUUGCUCUUCUUAUGCUAUCUGUCUCUUAAAACAGUUUGGUAGACAAAGCUUUUGCAAAAACAAAGGACAUAUUUAGAAACAGUAUCUGAGUCUCCCCCCUGCCCAGAAUUUGGAAACUCAGUAUUAUGUAGUGUUCUUGCUUUCAGGGCAAUAUAAUUAUUUGCCUAGGUUCAACAAGAAUCUGUCUUCCUUGUUACCAGGACAUAACCGAAAAAACUGGUUAAGUAACCAUGGCCUUGGCUGCAAGAUCAUAUUUGAUCAUAUAAUCAGCAACAACCAGACCCUUUCAAGAAAUGAAAGCAGACUUUAUGGCACCAAUGCCUGCCAAAGCCCUCUUGGGAAAACAAGCCAGGGACCUGGCUUCCAGGGUUCCCAACUCACAGAUGAGCAAGAAAGAUCACUUUGUAGGGGUCCAAGAGCUGGAGGAUAUGCUGGGGACCGCAGAAGGAAGGAAUUUAUGCAAAUGUGUAGAUAAUGAAGGUGAAAUCUGACAGCAACCUCUUGUUAGGGCUUCCUAGUCCCAAGAGGCUUUUAAAUGCACAAUCGAAGAUUCCUUAUGAAAACUUCCUGAGAACUAUUCUUGCUACACCUAUGUAAAUAAAUAUAAUGAGACCAGUCUUAUUUUGUGAUCAUAAAUAAUCUCUCUUUGAUUAUUAGAGGAGGGACUAUGGGAAAAAAAAUUGUGUCUCUGUGGGAAACUAUGCAUUGUUUACACUACACCAUUCCAGGAUAUCAGAUCCUAGCCAUGUUCACUGUCUGAGUUAUUUUGCACCUCUUUGUACCCUGCAGGGAACUGACAGAUGUGAAAACUCCAUUUUCUCUGGUAAAGAUUCACUUGACUUCCUUCUCCCCUACAGAAAAAAACAAUUUCCAUCCCUACCUGCAUAGUGGCCCCAUUCCUGUUACCAUGCCCAAAUUAUCAAUUCUUAGCAUAUUUCCAAUUCACGUGGCUUCCUGCACUACCUGGCUACAACCUCUCGAACUCAUGUUCCAAAUUGUUUCCAACCUGAUUCGGCAUCACCAAGUACCAGCACCUGACUGCCCUGAUCGUGUCUGGGCUCUAGUGAACUUGAAACUGACCCUUCUGUCCAGGUUUGAAGAAACCCAGAGCACUGAAGCCCGUGUGACCACAGUGAGCAGGAUCCUCUCUGGACAGGCCAUGUAAAAGUAUGGCAAAACUCUCAGGUUAUGCAUGCCUUUUAGGACAGGUAACCACACCUGGUUCGAGACCCUCGAGACAGUAAGCCAUGCUGUGAAACCAAUUCUGGGACCCAUGGUCAGGUCCCCUUGGGGCUCAGCUCCUGACUCUAGACUAGACUAUAACCUUCUGUAUAAAGUUCUGCCAGUUCUUUUCAUUUUAGGGAUCGUAGUUUAAGAUGCCUAACCUCCAGGACACUAAAACUGACCUUUGCCAUCACCUCUCAACAGAUAGAACAAGUACCAAUAAAAGUCCUCAAGUC